rnacentral:rRNA from 1 species
UACGUAGGGUGCGAGCGUUAAUCGGAAUUACUGGGCGUAAAGCGUGCGCAGGCGGUUUUGUAAGACAGUCGUGAAAUCCCCGGGCUCAACCUGGGAAUUGCGAUUGUGACUGCAAGGCUGGAGUGCGGCAGAGGGGGAUGGAAUUCCGCGUGUAGCAGUGAAAUGCGUAGAUAUGCGGAGGAACACCGAUGGCGAAGGCAAUCCCCUGGGCCUGCACUGACGCUCAUGCACGAAAGCGUGGGGAGCAAACAGG